ACAACAACAAUGAUGGAGAAAAGGUAUUGAUUUCGUCCUCAGAGAACCGGUGCUUGGGUGGAAGCCGGUGGCGAAGUAACUACUUUCAGCGCUCCUGAGUUAUUGCAUCGAGGUCUAGGAUUUUCCGACAUUAGAUGCAAUCGGCAGAAAACCGUUAUCCUUUCGGUCAUUAUAUGACCGCUGAAGGCAGUCCAUUGCGAAAUGGCUGCGAAUUAGGGUGGUACCACGAUAACUCUCGUCCCUUAC
rnacentral:ncRNA from 1 species